rnacentral:rRNA from 1 species
UGGGGAUGACGUCAAAUCAUCAUGCCCCUUAUGUUCUGGGCUACACACGUGCUACAAUGGCCGGUACAGACGGACGCAAAGCCGCGAGGUGGAGCAAAUCCUAAAAAGCCGGUCUCAGUUCGGAUUGCAGGCUGCAAUUCGCCUGCAUGAAGUCGGAAUCGCUAGUAAUCGCAGGUCAGCAUACUGCGGUGAAUACGGUUCCCGGGCCUU